rnacentral:rRNA from 1 species
CCUACGGGUGGCAGCAGUAGUGAAUUUUGCUCAAUGGGCGAAACCCUGACGCAGCAACUCCGCGUGAAGGAGACAGCCUUUAGGGUUUUAAACUCUGUUUGUUAGAGCAUAAUUUGACGGUACCUGCUUAUGAAGCCCCGGCUAACUACGUGCCAGCCGCCGCGGUAAUACGGGGGGUGCAAGCGUUUUCCGGAAUUAGUGGGUGUAAAGCGAGCUUAGGCGGUGCGUAAAGUCAGUAGUGAAAGGCUGGGGCUCAACUUCUGUAGUGCAUUUGAUACUUGCGAUCUAGAGUGCAGUAGAGGUAAGCGGAAUUCCUGGUGUAGCGGUGAAAUGCGUAGAUAUCAGGAGGAACAUCGGUGGCGAAGGCGGCUUACUGGACCGUAACUGACGUUGAGGAACGAAAGCGUGGGUAGCAAACAGGAUGAGAUACCCUAGUAGUC